CCUACGGGUGGCAGCAGUGAGGAAUAUUGGUCAAUGGACGAGAGUCUGAACCAGCCAAGUAGCGUGAAGGAUGAAUGCCCUAUGGGUUGUAAACUUCUUUUAUAUGGGAAUAAAACAGGGUAUGCAUACCCUCUUGUAUGUACCAUAUGAAUAAGGAUCGGCUAACUCCGUGCCAGCAGCAGCGCUAAUAUUGAGGAUCCGAGCGUUAUCCGGAUUUAUUGGGCUUAAAGGGACCGGAGGUGGAUUUUUAAGUCCGUUGUGAAAGUUCGCGGCUCAACCGUAGAAUUGCAGUUGAAACUGGCAGUCUAGAGUACGGUAGAGGUGAGCGGAAUUCGAGGUGUAGCAGUGAAAUGCGUAGAUAUCGCGAGGAACACCGGUGGCGAAGGCAGCUCACUGGACUGCAACUGACGCUGAUGCGCGAAAGUGUGGGUAGCAAACAGGAUUAGAUACCCUAGUAGUC
rnacentral:rRNA from 1 species